GAUAUACCACUGAAAGGUUCUUUUUUUUAGUAACUAGCAACUCUGCAAAUCUAUCAAAUCUGUAACAAUGUAUGAUAUAUUGAAAUUGCGGUGUGUAGGUUUGGUUGGAGGUUGGCGCUGGGAUCUUAUUUUCCUACAGUGUGUCUGUUGGAACUCUCAAUGUUUUGGCAAGCUACAAUAAAUAACAACAACUGCUACAGGUCCAGGACUAGUGCUCAUAGCUUAUCCCCAGGCAGUAGCCAUGAUGUCUCUCCCUCAGUUGUGGGCUGUUUGUUUCUUCAUCAUAAUUAUUUUGCUGGGGCCAGAUACAGUUUGUUGCAGUGGAAGCCGUCACGACAUCAGUGAUGGAUCUGUUCCCAGUGAUUCUGCACAGGGCAGGACGGGGAGAAACAUUCCUCCUGCUCUUCUGUUUCACUUGCUUCUUGGGCCAAUUCACCAUAGUUACAGAGGUCAAAGGAGAGUGUUUUGUGUUAUGAGAGUAAAAUGAACAAAAAUUAACUGAGC